AUUUUGUUAGUAUAAUUAGAGUAUAUUUGUUUUCCAAACAAAAGGUUUAGUAGUGUUGUAAACAAAAUA
rnacentral:tRNA from 1 species